rnacentral:rRNA from 1 species
GACAACCGCUGCCGGCCGUGUUUACCCCAUGCAAGUCGAACAAAGAGCGACGAAAGCUUUGCUUUCUAUCAUUUUAAGUGGCGACGGGUAAGUAACGCGUAAUCACCUGCCCUUCAGAGGGGGACACAGUUGGAAACGACUGCUAAUACCGCAUACGAUCUAAACUCGGCAUCGAGGAUAGAUGAAAGGUGGCCUCUACAUGUAAGCUAUCACUGAAGGAGGGGAUUGCGUCUGAUUAGCUAGUUGGAGGGGUAACGGCCCACCAAGGCGAUGAUCAGUAGCCGGUCUGAGAGGAUGAACGGCCACAUUGGGACUGAGACACGGCCCAGACUCCUACGGGAGGCAGCAGUGGGGAAUCUUCCGCAAUGGACGAAAGUCUGACGGAGCAACGCCGCGUGAGUGAUGACGGCCUUCGGGUUGUAAAGCUCUGUUAAUCGGGACGAAAGGCCUUCUUGCGAAUAGUGAGAAGGAUUGACGGUACCGGAAUAAAAGCC